GAUGAAGAACGCAGCGAAAUGCGAUAAGUAAUGUGAAUUGCAGAAUUCAGUGAAUCAUCGAAUCUUGAACGCACAUUGCGCUCCCUGGUAUUCCGGGGAGCAUGCCCGUUUCAGAAUCAUUAAAAAUCUCACAAACCCGGUGCUUUCUAGCAACGUGCGAGUGGAUUUGGAUGUUUUUGCGCUUUGCAAUCAUCUGAAAAUGAUCGUGUGUGCACCAAUUGGUUCAUCCGUUGGUUUCCGAAGCGCAACAGAUUUUAUCUAUUCGCGGAGGUUAACUUUGACAGAUUGCCAGACGGGGCGCAUUCUCCAACCAUGAUACGGAAGUUGCACCAGCUAGGUGUCGAUUUCUGAUAACUUGGUCUGAAAUCGGGCAAGAAAACCCGCUGAACUUAAGCAUAUCAAUAAGCGGAGGA
rnacentral:misc_RNA from 1 species